GCCGGGGUGGCGGAACUGGUAGACGCAGCGGAUUCAAAAUCCGCCGGUGGCGACACCUUGGGGGUUCGAGUCCCCCCCCCGGUACCA
rnacentral:tRNA from 1 species